GGUCUGUUCCAGAGAAUAGCUGAUUGUUUGUAUCUAUAGAAUAAAUAAUCAGAGGAAAGUCUGGACUCCAAUUCGAUCCCGUAUACUUAAGUAACGGGACAAGUACCUUAAAGUAGUAUUCUGUACUAAAAAGAGGCUGGGCGUGAGCUUAGGGUAACCCGUCUACGCAUACGCUACGACGAGGACAAAGAGGGCAACAGAAAAUAGACUGCCGAUGGCAUGAAGUAUAGCUAACGCAAACUUCACGCACAGGUAAAGCUGAAACGGUGCGGGUAAGAGCCCACCGGUUGUAUUGGUAACAAUACAAUGCUGGUAACCCCUACUUGGAGCAAUCCCGAUAGAUCGGGAGCAAAGAUAAAUUAUUCUCUUAAACACAGAAUCCGGCUUAUGGAACAGACUGUUU
rnacentral:RNase_P_RNA from 1 species